GCAACAUCUGGGCAACAUACGUUUUGGCAUGACAGCUAGUAGAUGGUUAUCUCCCAUGUGACUGAAGCCUCAUUUCUUGCCUUUACCUCUGUACAACAAAGAUUGUUAUCUGCUAAUAUGGAAGUGUCUUGGAUGAUGCAAAUAGUAUGUAUUCUUAAUGCUCAAGAUGCCAAAGGAGAAAGAUAAACUGUCCUGCAAAAUAAACAGAAGGCUGAUGCCUUUCUGGAAGGAGAGCUGCAGGGGAUGUCCAUCAAAAACAACUGAGUGUUGCUUACCAGGUACCAGUCAAUCUCAGAGAGGACCAGGUUGUGCCUGGCUACAUGAUCUGUUGUCAUGUCUUUCAUCUUAAAGCCACAGUACUUUGAAUGACAAAGGAGAAGCACACAUUCCUGCAAGAGUGGCAAGAGUGAUUCUUAGUGGUCAGGAACUCAUCUUGGUGCUGACAACGGGACUUAUUAGUCUAUUGGACAGUGAAAGAUCAGCUUUUCUUUUUCACUGAAAUUCUCCAUUCAUGCUGAACUCCCUGACAGCACAAAACAAACAUGUACUGUUGUUUCUGGAAACUGAGAAGAUAAACUCACUAUUCUUAAUAAAGACAACUGGGGUUCAACA
rnacentral:lncRNA from 1 species